rnacentral:rRNA from 1 species
UACGAAGGGGGCUAGCGUUGCUCGGAAUCACUGGGCGUAAAGGGUGCGUAGGCGGGUCUUUUAAGUCAGGGGUGAAAUCCUGGAGCUCAACUCCAGAACUGCCUUUGAUACUGAAGAUCUUGAGUUCGGGAGAGGUGAGUGGAACUGCGAGUGUAGAGGUGAAAUUCGUAGAUAUUCGCAAGAACACCAGUGGCGAAGGCGGCUCACUGGCCCGAUACUGACGCUGGGGCACGGAAAGCGUGGGGAGCAAACAGGG